CCUAUCGCGUGCCUGUGUUGACGUGCGACAGCCGUCGGCCGAUGAGGAGCAGCUCCUCCCUCCACUGCGUAAGUCUACAGCGGUAAUGCGGUUAAAUCAGUCUCACUAUUAAUAGCAGCGAGUUUACUGUCUCCUCACCAAAGCAGAUGUCCGUGUAGGAAUGCUCUCCAUGUUUCUCUGUGGCAUUUAGGUGGUGGCCUAAAUUCAUCUUUUAGCCUGGAAAGAACAGCUCCCCCAGCUGGCCGUGCGAGGCUUCGCUCAUGGCUUUCGUCUGCAUGCACAUCUUGUACUUGUCUGGAGGGAGCUCAUCUGCACACUUCUUCUCAUGCCACAAGUGGAAAAGACCGCGAGACGGAGAGCGAAUCACCAUCAGCUUGCUGUGAAGUUAAGGAGAUCAAUGAUGACACAAGCUUUUCCGUUACCUAUGUUGAUGAAAUCAGACCUGUAUUGGCAUGUCAUGCCAAACCCAAAGUCUCUCCAAAAUCCAGUUUCCUUCCUCAUCACCUGAGACAAAAGGUGAGGCAGGAAAUACGUGUGUGUUAAAUCCAAUAUUUUCAAUAUCCAAUAUAAUCAAUAUUUGCUCUAAUUCAUUCAAGUAAAUGUAGCUGUUUGUUUAUAUUACAUUAUGUUUACCUACCAGUUGUUGUUGAACAGAGGGUAAAUGUGUUUGGUUGCGGUAGAUAAUGGAUGGGUUGUACUGGCUGAAGAGCACUGGAUAGUACACUUUCUUACCUAGAGACAAAAACAGUGAAAACAUUCCCACUCAAACACCCAAUCACAUGUGAAGUUUAUAAUGAGCAACAAUAACCACCAGGUUUGAGUGAAGUGAGACUACCUUCCCCAAAACACCACAACAGUAACGACUUAUUGAUAACCAGGGGGACAAAAUCAAAGGAAUCUCACAGAUGAUCAUUUUAAAUAUGAUCUUGAUGAGUGCAGGUACUUUUUAGUGGUUUUCACAGCAGAUAUUUUGACUUGUCAUGGUAACAGAACCACAGCCUUUAGAGCUGAGAACAUAAGUGAUGUUCAAGUGCACCAAUGAUAAAACUGAUCUUGUGACCAAGUUCUGAAAAGUGUUUCCACUUUCAAUGUCCGAUUAGAGGAGUGUGUGGGCAUGUACGCACA